GAUAGUAAGAGCGACUGGAAAAGAUCAUAUUCAUGCAUUAAGUUUUGUCCCCACAAUUGAAAUUAAAAAGUAGGAAUUUGUAAUUUUGUGUAAAAGAAGACAAAUAAUUCUACGAUAGACUUGUGGCUGCAUUAUUGGUUGGGCGGUCCAUACAACACACACACACAAGAUAGACACAAAACUGAAUAUCAGUCUCAUUCUUCCAUGCGAUUUGGUCGGUUUUCUUAUGCGGUCAUCCUUCAAAAACGCAUAUUUUGGGUUAAAAUUAAAUUUGGCCGUAAACAUGCGUUUCUCAGUUUUCAUGAAUUUUUACCAUUCGAAAAAAAUGCUCGUUGUUAUGCUUUUUUUUUUUUUUUUUGACAGCAAACAUUCACAGACUCAUAUUGACUCUGUAAACCAAUGUGGUAACUCUGCAUCCAUAUGUAAGACGAAAGACGAUUGUUUCCGAGCACUGCGUGCUAAGCUAUCUGCCUUAAGGUUCGCCGUCCUAGGAACAUGAAUGAUUUCUGAGUUGAGGAAACUUCUUCUGAGAAGCUUAAUGUCUUCCAGGUAGCUUUCAAAUGCUGGCCAUUCUUCUGGUUCCGAAACCAUCUUCACCAAUUGAGAACAAUCCGUUGCAAACGUAACCUGAAAUUGUCUUAAAUUUUUCAUACAUUCUAUUGCCCAUAUUAAUGCCUUCAUCUCCGAAUGAAGAGGGGAGAGACAUGCCUGUACAUUCCUUGCCCCUAACAAUCCAUCAAAACCCGGGAGAGUGCUAAACCAGCCUUGCCCUGAAUACAGGUCCUUAUCCUUCCAUGAACCAUCUGUGAAACACCAUCUCCCUGCAUUCGCCUGGAUGGGUCUGGUCUGUACUUCCUGUACCAAACUUUGAUUCCUUAAUAACUGCGCUUCAGUCCAAAGUGUUGAUUCUAAUUCCGCUAACUUAAGAGUGUCCCUCGGAUCAAUAUCAAUAUUGCUAAACACUUUGUUAUUCCGACUUUUCCAGAUGUACCAUAUUAUCCAUGCAAACUGAUGGUCCUC
rnacentral:lncRNA from 1 species